UACGUAGGGUGCAAGCGUUGUCCGGAAUUAUUGGGCGUAAAGAGCUCGUAGGCGGUCUGUCGCGUCUGCUGUGAAAACCUGGGGCUUAACCCCGGGCCUGCAGUGGGUACGGGCAGACUAGAGUGCGGUAGGGGAGACUGGAAUUCCUGGUGUAGCGGUGAAAUGCGCAGAUAUCAGGAGGAACACCGGUGGCGAAGGCGGGUCUCUGGGCCGAUACUGACGCUGAGGAGCGAAAGCGUGGGGGAGCGAACAGG
rnacentral:rRNA from 1 species